rnacentral:rRNA from 1 species
UACGUAGGGUGCGAGCGUUAAUCGGAAUUACUGGGCGUAAAGCGUGCGCAGGCGGUGAGCUGUGUCCGAUGUGAAAGCCCCGGGCUUAACCUGGGAAUGGCAUUGGAAACUGGCUCGCUGGAGUGUGGCAGAGGGGGGUGGAAUUCCGCGUGUAGCAGUGAAAUGCGUAGAAAUGCGGAGGAACACCGAUGGCGAAGGCAGCCCCCUGGGCUAACACUGACGCUCAGGCACGAAAGCGUGGGGAGCAAACAGG